rnacentral:rRNA from 1 species
GUAGGGAAUAUUGCAAAAUGGGCGAAAGCCCGAUGCAGCAACGCCGCGUGGGCGAUGAAGGCCUUCGGGUCGUAAAGCCCUUUUUGAGGGGAUGAGGAAGGACAGUACCCUCAGAAUAAGCCUCGGCUAACUACGUGCCAGCAGCCGCGGUAAAACGUAGGAGGCGAGCGUUAUCCGGAUUUACUGGGCGUAAAGCGCGUGCAGGCGGAUUGGAGAGUUGGAUGUGAAAGCUCCCGGCUUAACUGGGAGAGGUCGUUCAAUACUUCCAGUCUUGGGUGCAGUAGAGGGAAGUGGAAUUCCGGGUGUUGUGGUGAAAUGCGUAGAUAUCCGGAGGAACACCAGUGGCGAAAGCGGCUUCCUGGACUGUAACUGACGCUCAGACGCGAAAGCUAGGGUAGCAAACG